rnacentral:rRNA from 1 species
UACGAAGGGGGCUAGCGUUGUUCGGAUUUGCUGGGCGUAAAGCGCACGUAGGCGGAUAGGUAAGUUAGGGGUGAAAUCCCAGAGCUCAACUCUAGAACUGCCUUUAAUACUGCCGAUCUCGAGUCCGGAAGAGGUGAGUGGAACUCCUAGUGUAGAGGUGGAAUUCGUAGAUAUUAGGAAGAACACCAGUGGCGAAGGCGGCUCACUGGUCCGGUACUGACGCUGAGGUGCGUAAGCGUGGGGAGCAAACAGG